UACGUAGGGUGCAAGCGUUAAUCGGAAUUACUGGGCGUAAAGCGUGCGCAGGCGGUUAAGUAAGUCAGAUGUGAAAUGCCCGGGCUUAACCUGGGAACUGCAUUUGUGACUGCAUGGCUAGAGUUUGGCAGAGGGGGGUAGAAUUCCACGUGUAGCAGUGAAAUGCGUAGAUAUGUGGAGGAACAUCGAUGGCGAAGGCAGCCCCCUGGGUCAAGACUGACGCUCAUGCACGAAAGCGUGGGGAGCAAACAGG
rnacentral:rRNA from 1 species